GUCGAACGAAGAAGUAAGCUUGCUUACUUCUUAGUGGCGAACGGGUGAGUAAUACAUAAGCAAUCUGCCCAUAUGCCUGGGAUAACCGUUGGAAACGAUGGCUAAUACCGGAUAGGUGAAUUGAAGGCAUCUUUGAUUCAUUAAAGUUGGGAUACAACACAUAUGGAUGAGCUUAUGGCGCAUUAGCUAGUUGGUGAGGUAACGGCUCACCAAGGCGAUGAUGCGUAGCCGACCUGAGAGGGUGACCGGCCACACUGGGACUGAGACACGGCCCAGACUCCUACGGGAGGCAGCAGUAGGGAAUUUUCGGCAAUGGGGGAAACCCUGACCGAGCAACGCCGCGUGAGUGAAGAAGGCCUUCGGGUUGUAAAGCUCUGUUGUAAGGGAAGAAGAGAUCAUAGAGGGAAUGCUAUGAUUGUGACGGUACCUUACCAGAAAGCCACGGCUAACUACGU
rnacentral:rRNA from 1 species